AACUUUCAACAACGGAUCUCUUGGUUCUCGCAUCGAUGAAGAACGCAGCGAAAUGCGAUAAGUAGUGUGAAUUGCAGAAUUCAGUGAAUCAUCGAAUCUUUGAACGCACAUUGCGCCUCCUGGCAUUCCGGGAGGCAUGCCUGUUCGAGCGUCA
rnacentral:rRNA from 1 species